GUGAGCCUGCAUGCUCAACACUCAAUACCGGACCCUGAAACUAAAGCAGCUAAAUGGAAUUCAGCCCACAUUCUUUUGAUUAUUUACACCCGAGAUGUCAAAAGAUCUUCUGUGAAAAAGGGUUCAGUAAUGGAAGUCAACAGUGGAGCGUCUAGGAAAUGGACAAGGCUUCCCCUGUUGCACCCCGCCCACCCACCUCCCAACAAAGCAACACAGACAGCUCAUUUAUCAGCUUCCCAACCUUCUACCAGGUACGCCUACUACCUCCAGCUUUAUUUCUUUUUGGACCAACCAACUACAAAAACUUGAACUUGAAAGAACUGUCAACCGUCUGGGCUGGCAGCUCAUGGGGAGCUCUCGGCCAGGGCUAGCUGUUGUUGCCGACCAGAGAUUGAAAACACAAUGGCUCCAGGAGCUCGGUCGACAGAGUGCACAAGACAGAUGGGAGGUGACAUGCGUGUCCAGAGGGCCAAUGUAGGACUGCAGAGCCACUGGACUUCAGUAGUGUUGUGUGUGAAGGAUUGUGUAGCACCUUGCUUCUGAACUUUCCUCAGACAAAUGGGAUCAUGUAAACACAUUCUUCUCCUUCACUAUGAUGUCAAACUGCCUAACUCCUCAAAGCUGCAUUUACACUAUCCCCGGCUGUUCUCCCUCAGGUAGUCGCACCAACAAAUGCACCCAGCUUUGUCACCCCCUCCAAAUUGCUGCUGCAGCGGGACAUUUGAUGCAGACCAGCCCAGGCGUCGGAUGGAUGGUGUGUCGGCCGAUGGUAGCCGGGGUGUCGAGUCACUGAAGCGUUUUAGUCGAGUUAGAUAAUAAAUAAACUCUGACUAGACAGGAAAUUGGGCAGCAAGAGGACGAGAUGUGGGAGGGAUGCUGGCAUCUCCAAUUCAUUUAGAGCGUGUGACAAGAACAUAGACUGGGCUUUUUGGUGUUGGUUGG